AGGACGCCUUUUGAAUAUUUCUGACCGAGAAGACCAGACAGUAGUCGAGGAACCUGACCAGCCUUCUCGCAAGAGAAGCCAGCCUUCUGGACGGUUCCAGUAGCAAGCGAAGGGAGCGGCGGACUUUAGACCAUUUCCAUCUGCCAAGACUGCCACAAGGUCAUUUACGAAGGCUCCAGCCGAACCGAGGAGACCUCCAUCGCUUGUCCAAGCGGCUAAGCGAUCGUUACAAAGAACGUGUGUACUGCAUUUGUCAAAGGUGCCGGAAAAGGGGACAGUGUUGUGAAGCGAACUGAGCACUGCGAAUUUUUGACGAAACAAGGGUGAACUCCACGAACGCAGCGUCAUCCGAAGCGGGAGCCCUUCAAUCCAAUUGCCCUGGACUCAAUGAUGAGCGGAUGUACCGAAUCCGCUUGACGUGGCCCCAAAAACGCGCUGCGAAUAUUGACGACCGCACAUUUCUUCACUGAUUUUAAAGCAAGACUUCCCUUUCCACCUUCGUUUCUUACGUCCGGCUAUACAUGACUGACUAGAGUAUCUAAAUUACUGCCAUUUUAUUAAAAAGCGCGAUUACGUGAAGGCUAUGAGUUAAUGUAUCCAAAACCAAAGAGCGCUCGCUGCACAAGUGACCUUUCUAGUCCACAAAAUUCAGUGGUUUGAGGUCCGUGCUGUUAAGCUUUCUGCUCAGUGUUCUUAUGUUUCUGACGUGUUUCUUGUGAAAUAAAUUUGAUGAAUUUACCUGUA